CCUACGGGAGGCAGCAGUAGGGAAUCUUCCACAAUGGACGAAAGUCUGAUGGAGCAACGCCGCGUGAGUGACGAAGGGUUUCGGCUCGUAAAGCUCUGUUGGUAGUGAAGAAAGAUAGAGGUAGUAACUGGCCUUUAUUUGACGGUAAUUACUUAGGAAGUCACGGCUAACUACGUGCCAGCAGCCGCGGUAAUACGGAGGUGGCAAGCGUUGUCCGGAGUGAUUGGGCGUAAAGAGAGUGCAGGCGGUUUAAUAAGUCUGAUGUGAAAGCCUACGGCUCAACUGGAGAAAUGCAUCAGAAACUAUUGAACUUGAGUGCAGAAGAGGAGAGUAGAACUCCAUGUGUAGCGGUGGAAUGCGUAGAUAUAUGGAAGAACACCAGUAGCGAAGGCGGCUCUCUGGUUUGCAACUGACGCUGAGGCGCGAAAGCAUGGGUAGCGAACAGGAUUAGAUACCCGAGUAGUC
rnacentral:rRNA from 1 species